UACGUAGGGUGCGAGCGUUAAUCGGAAUUACUGGGCGUAAAGGGUGCGCAGGCGGCGUCGCAAGUCAGGCGUGAAAUCCCCGGGCUUAACCUGGGAACUGCACUUGAAACUACGAUGCUGGAGUAUGGCAGAGGGAGGUGGAAUUCCACGUGUAGCGGUGAAAUGCGUAGAGAUGUGGAGGAACACCGAUGGCGAAGGCAGCCUCCUGGGCCAAUAAUGACGCUCAUGCACGAAAGCGUGGGGAGCAAACAGG
rnacentral:rRNA from 1 species